rnacentral:lncRNA from 1 species
CCCUCACCCAGCUGCUGCGGCGGAGAGACGGAGGCCAGCGCGGGGAGCGGAAGCCGGAGCCUGUCGGGAGCGACCCCGGGAAGGCCAGUCCCUCCUGCCGGAGGGAGGCGUGUUGGCGUGCGGCCGGUGGCGGGAUCGAUGGCCACCUGGUAGGCGAUGAGUCCUUGGUGGUCAUCGAGAACCCUGGAGCCCCUGCGGCAGUUCCCAGAGACGUGGAGGCGGUGGGGCGCCAGGUGGCCCUGGGCGGUGCCGAGUCGGCCGCGGACUGGGGUCGAGAGAAGUGCAGGAGGGCCAGAGGUCCUGGGCCAGUGUGCGCAGAGCACCGUGAGGGGGAGUGUUGGGUGCCCGGGGCGGCAGUGCCUUCAGGGCGGCCUGGGCUAUGAUGUGGGAUAUCCUCAGAGAUUUGGGCGGCGCGUGGAAGGCAGGACGGAGGGGUCCCCGGGCACGUGAAUGGGAGCUGGGUGCCUGUGCCCUGGCCGGUCAUGGGUGCCGGCGGGGCAGAGAAGUGUGAGCCCGCGGCCAGCUCCCGGGGCCGCUAAGGUGUCCACACACGGGCUGGGCAUUGAGGCCGUGCGGCGCCCCUGCCCUGGCUGAGGCCGUGUUCCGGGGAGGGAGGACAGGGAGUUGCGCAGUGGGAGGCAGUGUGAGGUUGAUACCCAGCAGAGCUAGCCACGCCUGCGGACUGGAGCCAAGCCGAGCUGGUUCCAGGCGGGAGCUGGUGGCAAGGAGGGAGUCUGCUGUGGAGGUAAGGGGGCAGGUGGCGGCGGAAGGGGCGUGAGUUUCGGUGCGAGGGUCCCGCUGGGCCAGGGUCUAGUGCGUCUCCCGUGGAGAUGCUGGUGCUGGAGUUAGGGAGGCCUGGGUGUGCAUGGUGUGGCACGCAAAGGAGAGGGUCCCAUGGGGCCCGGCGGGCCUUCCGGUGCUGGCG